rnacentral:rRNA from 1 species
AGCGAACGCUGGCGGCAGGCCUAACACAUGCAAGUCGAACGGCUCUUCGGAGCAGUGGCGGACGGGUGAGUAACGCGUGGGAACGUGCCCUUUGGUUAGGAACAACACAGGGAAACUUGUGCUAAUACCGGAUGAGCCCUUCGGGGGAAAGAUUUAUCGCCAUUGGAGCGGCCCGCGUUGGAUUAGGUAGUUGGCGGGGUAAAGGCCUACCAAGCCUACGAUCCAUAGCUGGUCUGAGAGGAUGAUCAGCCACACUGGGACUGAGACACGGCCCAGACUCCUACGGGAGGCAGCAGUGGGGAAUCUUGCGCAAUGGGCGAAAGCCUGACGCAGCCAUGCCGCGUGUAUGAUGAAGGUCUUAGGAUUGUAAAAUACUUUCACCGGGGAAGAUAAUGGCGGUACCCGGAGAAGAAGCCCCGGCUAACUUCGUGCCAGCAGCCGCCGUAACAC